UCAAGCAGCUAUACACCCUGCUACUCACAACUAGCAACCCACUGAAGCUAAGCAGGGGUGAGCCUGGUCAGUACCUGGAUGGGAGACCUUCUGGGAAUAGCUAAGGUUGCUGCUGGAA
rnacentral:rRNA from 1 species